rnacentral:rRNA from 1 species
UAGGGAAUCUUCCGCAAUGGACGAAAGUCUGACGGAGCAACGCCGCGUGAACGAUGAAGGCCUUCGGGUCGUAAAGUUCUGUUGUUAGGGAAGAACAAGUACCAGAGUAACUGCUGGUACCUUGACGGUACCUAACCAGAAAGCCACGGCUAACUACGUGCCAGCAGCCGCGGUAAUACGUAGGUGGCAAGCGUUGUCCGGAAUUAGUGGGCGUAAAGCGCGCGCAGGCGGGUUCUUAAGUCUGAUGUGAAAGCCCACGGCUCAACCGUGGAGGGGCAUUGGAAACUGGGAAACUUGAGUGCAGAAGAGGAGAGUGGAAUUCCACGUGUAGCGGUGAAAUGCGUAGAGAUGUGGAGGAACACCAGUGGCGAAGGCGACUCUCUGGUCUGUAACUGACGCUGAGGCGCGAAAGCGUGGGGAGCGAACA